rnacentral:rRNA from 1 species
GGACUACUUGGGUACGCACUAUAACCCUUUGUGACAUACCUACAACUGUUGCUUCGGCGGGUAGGCCGUCCCCUGAAAAGGACGCCUCCCGGCCCGGACCGGACCCCCCGUGGGGCCGGACUCGGCGCCCGCCGGAGGAUAACCAAACGCUAUUUUAACGACGUUUCUUCUGAGUGGCAUAAGCAAAAUAAUCAAAACUUUUAACAACGGAUCUCUUGGUUCUGGCAUCGAUGAAGAACGCAGCGAAAUGCGAUAAGUAAUGUGAAUUGCAGAAUUCAGUGAAUCAUCGAAUCUUUGAACGCACAUUGCGCCCGCCAGCAUUCUGGCGGGCAUGCCUGUUCGAGCGUCAUUUCAACCCUCAAGCUCUGCUUGGUGUUGGGGCUCUACGGUCGACGUAGGCCCUCAAAGGUAGUGGCGGACCCUCCCGGAGCCUCCUUUGCGUAGUAACAUUUCGUCUCGCACUGGGAUCCGGAGGGACUCUUGCCGUAAAACCCCCCAAUUUUUCAAGGUUGACCUCGGAUCAGGUAGGAAUACCCGCUGAACUUAAGCAUAUCAAUAGCCGGAGGAA